rnacentral:rRNA from 1 species
AAGACCUUGCGCUUUUGGAGCGGCCGAUGCCUGAUUAGCUUGUUGGUAAGGUAAAAGCUUACCAAGGCUUCGAUCAGUAGCUGGUCUGAGAGGACGGCCAGCCACACUGGGACUGAGACACGGCCCAGACUCCUACGGGAGGCAGCAGUGGGGAAUUUUGGACAAUGGGGGCAACCCUGAUCCAGCCAUGCCGCGUGAGUGAAGAAGGCCUUCGGGUUGUAAAGCUCUUUCAGUUGAGAAGAAAAAAUCACGACUAAUAAUUGUGAUUCAUGACGGUAUCAACAGAAGAAGCACCGGCUAACUACGUGCCAGCAGCCGCGGUAAUACGUAGGGUGCAAGCGUUAAUCGGAAUUACUGGGCGUAAAGGGUGCGCAGGCGGUUUUGUAAGUCAGAUGUGAAAUCCCCGGGCUUAACCUGGGAACU